GGCGAAAUGGCCGAGUGGUCUAAGGCGCUGUGUUUAGGCUUUUCAAGCAUAAAUCCGCAGUCAGAAAUGGCGUGGGUUCGAAUCCCACUUUCGUCA